CGAGCGAAUGGAUUAAGAGCUUGCUCUUAUGAAGUUAGCGGCGGACGGGUGAGUAACACGUGGGUAACCUGCCCAUAAGACUGGGAUAACUCCGGGAAACCGGGGCUAAUACCGGAUAACAUUUUGAACCGCAUGGUUCGAAAUUGAAAGGCGGCUUCGGCUGUCACUUAUGGAUGGACCCGCGUCGCAUUAGCUAGUUGGUGAGGUAACGGCUCACCAAGGCAACGAUGCGUAGCCGACCUGAGAGGGUGAUCGGCCACACUGGGACUGAGACACGGCCCAGACUCCUACGGGAGGCAGCAGUAGGGAAUCUUCCGCAAUGGACGAAAGUCUGACGGAGCAACGCCGCGUGAGUGAUGAAGGCUUUCGGGUCGUAAAACUCUGUUGUUAGGGAAGAACAAGUGCUAGUUGAAUAAGCUGGCACCUUGACGGUACCUAACCAGAAAGCCACGGCUAACUACGUGCCAGCAGCCGCGGUAAUACGUAGGUGGCAAGCGUUAUCCGGAAUUAUUGGGCGUAAAGCGCGCGCAGGUGGUUUCUUAAGUCUGAUGUGAAAGCCCACGGCUCAACCGUGGAGGGUCAUUGGAAACUGGGAGACUUGAGUGCAGAAGAGGAAAGUGGAAUUCCAUGUGUAGCGGUGAAAUGCGUAGAGAUAUGGAGGAACACCAGUGGCGAAGGCGACUUUCUGGUCUGUAACUGACACUGAGGCGCGAAAGCGUGGGGAGCAAAC
rnacentral:rRNA from 1 species